UAACAGGGAAGUAAAUAUUCUCUUUUACUAUAAUGACUUGGUAGUGAAUGCAGGUAUCCCAUGGAUUAUAUUUGUACACAAAUACAUUGAUUAUCCAUUAACGCCAACAUAACGUGCGUCAUUACACAGUUUGAGUAUAGAGUAAUGUAACGUAUAAACAGUUACAGCUACAACGAGCGUUAAGACCUAAACUUUAUACAAAAUUACUAACAAUAAACGCAGACUGGCGAGGGUGGUGCACAUGAGCUUAUAUACGAGAAGGGUCAAAAUCUGACUUUUUUUCCAACACGUUUUUCCAACACUUUCAAAUUGAAAGGUUUUCUGUGACAGCAAUGCAGCUCUUGCAUUCUUCCUUUACUUGGACAAGGUAUUUAAAUAUUUAAUUGCAAAUGCACCUUUAUUUUCUUCCAAAUAAUAUUGCUCUAUAAUUUAUUUAUUUUUUAUUCCACUCAUAACAAGCAAAUAAUUGGGGGGAAUAAAACGUGGCAGAGAGUCUGAUUAGUUUGGUGUAUUACAGAAAAUGUGGAAAUGUUAUUUUGAGUUGUUGGUAAGCAAUGAUUUAGGGAGGUUAUAAGAUAUUGUAACUGCGGCUCUAUCAGUAAAGUGACAAGCACAGGUUUGUGUGAGUGGCAAUAUGUCGAAAUAGAAUGGUGAAGAAAAAUGAAGGGGACAUCGUUUUAUUUUAAACUAUAAAGGAAAUGUUUAGCUAUAGGCAGAGCAAAUGGAAUGAGCUUAAUGGGAAAUAAAGAAAGAAUACAGGAAAUAAAACAUAGGAAAAAACAACCAACCAAAAUUCAUGUUAUAUCAACGUAUUAAUAAAUGUAAUACAAAAAGACUGCAUACAUGUUAUAUACUUUUUUCUACAUAUUUGUUUCUGUAAAAUAUACCAUAUAAGAGUUGUGGUUCCUGUAUUUCUCGCUUUAUGUAAAGAAUAUUAAAUGUGAUGUUUUUAUUUAAUCCACGUUUCACUCGGAGGACUCCAGACACACUCGCCAUUAUUACGAUGAUUAAAUACCAGUUCUGAAUACGUGACUCUGUUCUGAAAAUGAAACCAAGAGAAGAUCAGUCCACGUGAAACAAUAUCCACAGGUCGGUCCCUAACAUGACUCCAAUUCAGGAAUAUUUUGGAUAAAUGUCCAUACUUUGUAUCCAUUCAUUUAAACCAGGGAAUUCAAAAAAGGGACAUCAGUGUUUAGGGGAUCUAGGCCCACCUCCCAAACACUAACAUUCAAUGAUAAACAAAUUAAUAUAAAUCAACAAUUCUUUCUUUACCUUAUAGAUAGCAAAAGGCAAGUCAGUACUCGUAUACAUAUAUAAAAAUAUAUUUUCUAUAUUUAUUUUGAUAUUUAUUUUAUUUUGUUAUCUGAUAAAGUAUAUAUACUUACCUUUAUAUCCUGACCUGGUAUUCUCCAUUUUUAGCUGUAAGUGAAAAGGGCGUUCCCAUAUUUUGACGAAUGGUAUAGAAACUUGGAGUCUUUUAUGGGCUCCAAGUAAACGUGAGCAUACUAAAUACACAGCAAUUUUAUAUUAUACAUUUUAACCCCUUAAGGACGCAGCUUCAGAAGCUGGACAUACCCUUAA
rnacentral:lncRNA from 1 species